UAGCGGUAGACUCCUCUACACAUGGUGGGGCGUGUGGAAGGAAAGAAAUAGGAGGGUGCUCAAAGGGACGGCUAUGCCGGCCGCCGGCUUGGCUCACCUGGUUUGGGAAGACAUUCGCAGUAGGCUACGGGCGUGCUCUAGAGACCCGGGAGAUUAGUCCCUUCGUUUGAGCACUUGCCUUUUUUCUUUCUUAUUUUUUUUCCUGAGAUCCUUCUUGGAUCUCCUUGUACAGUUCUUUCCUUCUAAUCGAAUGACGGAGAUCGACCGUCCUUUCCUG
rnacentral:lncRNA from 1 species